GAGCACCUUAAGUACGUCAUCCAGAUGCACUUUGCCCGGGAAGAAGCCACCAACAAUACAACUGAUUAUGAAGGGCUCCUUGCCGGGCUCAGGAUUGCAGCAGAAUUGGGAAUCAAGAAGCUGAUCAUUCGAGGAGAUUCACAGUUAGUGGUGAGACAAGUCAACAAGGAUUACCAAAGCCCGUUGUUGGAAGCAUAUGUUGAGGAAGUAAGGAGGUUGGAGCAGCGCUUUGACGGGUUGCAAACAGAGCACAUACCCAGUGCGAAAAACAGCAUACACUACAAAAAAAAUACACUUCCGUGA
rnacentral:rRNA from 1 species